AAAAAAAAAAAAAAAAAAAAAAAAAGGAAAAAAAAAUCAAGGGAAGGCGAGCAAAUGGUUUGGGAUCUGACAGUCCACUUCACAUCCCUCUCAAAAUCACUUAAGAAGUACCUAAACAGUGGGAGAUUAAGUUUGAGUUUCCCUUUGUGUAUGGAAUGGACCCAAACUUACGUAGAUCUGCUUUAUUGGUAUGCAAGGGAAAAAAAAAAAAAAGUGGGAUUGGAAAGGAACGAUGACUAGAGAAGAAAAAAAAAAAAAAAAAAGGCUGGGGAUGAGAGCCUGAAGUUAACUGCUUUGCAAGAGCCGAACAGCUCAUACAUUUGAUUAGAGUUACGCAAUAUUUGUAGCUCUGCAAAACCAGCGAUGAUCUGGCAUGAUCAGCUCCGCAUGCAAAUUUUUGGCUAAGAAAUGGGAUAUCCUGAUAAUUCAGUGCGUGAGUACAUCUGCUGAAAAUGUUUGCUCUGAUGUUUUCUCUCACUUCUCGUGAUUGCUCUGCAAAUAAAUCUCUCGAAAUAGUUGGGGAAAAAAAAUCCCCCUCCCAUACCCCCAGAUCCCAAUACUGCUCAUCCUAGUACGUUUGUGGCUAAACCAGGCUUUUCACGCAGUUUGUCAGUAGACGUUUUGAAAGAAAAUAAAAAUGCACUAAUUGAAACUGGCCGCUUGUUAAUUGCUUAUUGCUGACAUCUUAGACGCGCUAUAGAUAAAAAAUAAUACGUCUUGCCUCUUCGAAGAAGGGUGACCCUAUAGAUGGUUAUUUGGGGGAGGAAAGGAAAAGAGGAAAACUUGGUUUGCAACGUGGAAAGAAAACCCCAACAAACAAACAAAUCAAAAACCCUGCCCAAAGCCUGUCAUAGUUUUCAUCUUACGCAGGGUCAGGCCCGCCGUCUAAUUGAUUUGCCACCUAUAAUACAUGUAAAUCCGAGCAGAGGUCUUAAACCGCACUAAAUCUCCGGGAACUGAAUGUUUAGCACAGAGGCAGUUAUUAUUCCCAGUUCAGUAGCCUAAAAAAAUUUUUUACAAAAAUUUUUAAAUGUUGGGUUAUUAGUGUAGCUGUUUAACAGACGCUCUCCUGCCUUCCCAGCUGAAAUCCGAAGGUAAAUCUGAGACCGAUUUUGGGAAUAUAUUUUCUUUGGACGCCUGAAGCGCCAGCCCAGCCGGUAAGGAGGCAGACACAGAGCAAUAACGGUUGCAGUACCAGGCUCAUACAGUAGCCCUUAAGUUAGACCCCUCUCUGAGGGCACCGGUGGGCACAUCUUUAUUCAGUCUUCGGCCUCAUCUCCUCAAAAACAGGAGCGGCGUUUGCCAAGAAGGAGCAAUAAAGCGGGGAAGUUGCGGGAGACACCAGAAGGUGGUAUAUAACACAUUUAACUGCGCUGGGAAGCCGGCUUUCCCCUCCUGACAGACAUCACUCAGCUGGCAGGGUAUAAAUAAAGACAAAGAAAAGUAUUUACAGUAUGUACAACCCCAGCACUCUGCCCAGGAAGGUCCCACUUUUUGUCGCUUUGCUUUUCUGGCCAGCAAACGCCAACCCCACCAGGCAGAGCCAGGCAGAUAGAUGAGGGGAUUAAAACAACACCCAAAUAUUUCGAAAUGCAAACAGAACAGAGCAUUGCUUGUGUGAAAGCUAAACCCGCUAAGAACUUGGUAGAAAGUUCAGUGCAGUUGGUUCCAAUAAAAAAUGAAACUCUUUUUUUCAUGUGGAGCUGGAAUUCCCGAUCCUUCUGAAGUGAGAACACAGCGGGGGUUUCCCUACCGAGGGACUUAUUGCAGCCAUAAAGUCAAGCCAACACCACGAAAACACUUGAAAACCCCCCUUGUUCCUGGAGUCAGACAUAGACUUCUUGGCAGCAGAGAAGCCUUCCCUGUAAUGCUCAUGCACACCCGAAAUCACAUCGGAAAAAAAAAGCCGACGGAGCCAUGUAGAGCUCCAGGGCUGAAGGAUUUAAAACAAUGACCCCUGAAGGUGUAAAAAAAUACCCGCUCUCCCCGCGCAUAACCGCCUGAAACUUAAUUUCCAGCAAUUUAAGUUUAAUUUACCUGACUUCCCGUGCAGUGCAUAAUAACCUUGUUAAUGGGAUCUUUGAAAAGAAGCAAUAAUAAUCUACCAUUGUUCCAUUAAAGAGUGCAGCUAAUUAUUAACAAAAAAAAAAAAAAAAAAAAAAAAGAGGGAGGAGGGGAGGGCAGAGGGAGAGAGGGACAUUGAGGGAGUCAAAAUUAAUCCAGCCCGAAGUAUUUCUUGAAAAGCAAGCCCUGGGAAAGGGAAAGGGGGGCUGCUGGUCAAAUAAUAUUGGAAAAGCAGGGAGAAGGAGAGGAAAAGGCAAGACGGAUCAUGUAAUGCAGAAAGUGAAUGCUGGGGGGUGUUGGGAAUUACAGCAUGGAACAAGUUAAUCAUGGCUGUUGCUGGUCAAAAGAGAGAAACUUUUUUUUUUUUUUUUAACCUAGUCCCUGGGCAUCUCACUUUCUUCGAGAAAAUGUCCCUAGUCUAGACGUAAACAGUUGCCAGGAAACUGUGUGGCAGAAGGAGAAAACGAGAGGGAGAAAGCGAGAGGGAGGGAGGGAGAGAGAGAAACCUUUUAAAAUAACAGACACGCAUUGUCCCUUCAAAGCCUACAGUAACUUAAAAGUGAUCCGUCGUCUGCUCUGCUCCCUGCUCCUUCCCCAGCAACCACCUCCAGCCUGUGUACACGACUUGACACAUCUUUUCCAGACCCCACCGAAAUGACCACUCGAAGCAAUAAAUAAAUAAAAGCUCCUCUGCCUUUUAUGAUCGGCUGAAAUCCCCUUUGCCUCUUCCGUCAUCACUGCACCGCGUUUUACAAGAUAUCCGCUUGUGUUCACGCUCAGCGACCCACCGGCCACCUUUCAUCUUCCAUGUGCAUGCGUACGGAUGGAUGUGAGUCCUUCCACGUGUGUGCACGUGUGGAUUUGCACACACAUGGCACGGAACAGCUGUACACGCGUACCGGCGCAGGUCGGGGGAGGUAUGGAUCAACGCGCGCCUAUGGGAUGGCCAUAGCUCACAUAACCCUAUUUCCGAGGACUGCCGCGAACUGCCCUCUCCGAAGAAACCACCCACAUAAUAAUGACCCUGGAGAGCAACGCAAAACCCAACUGGCUUCCACACAAACUUCG